rnacentral:sRNA from 1 species
CCUCACAUGAAGUAAGAUCAAAAUCAAACGAACAAAGAAUCAGUGCAUGGUGAGAAAUUGAUGGGCACUGAAACUGAUUAGGAAGGAAGUCCCUGAGCUAUCCCCAACCAGCAUAAAAUCGAUCAGAGAUGUCGUCCCAUGAGCAACACUCUAGUGAGUUGACCUGGAAUUGUGCGCAAUAGACAAAGCAACUCUUGUACACAAAAAUUGCAACAAGCAAGUUGUGGUGCAGUUCCUCAAAAGAUGCAGUAUCUCCAACUGGAGGUAAACAAACAACUCCUAACAGGACCCUAGUUUCCCCAGAACACAACUCAAGGAUGAGAGAUUCGCAUUUGCCCAAAGUAAUAGCUCGAAAAACGACCUUAUAUUUGAUUGAAUUGGAAACAUAAACUCCUAAUCCACCGCCCCGCAUAUUUUCGUGAUCAUUUCUGUAAAAUUUUUAACCCGGAAUACUAGCUUUGCUAGAAACAACUGGUUUAAGCCAGGUUUUAGAAAUAGCAAAAACAUCAAAUUUGGAACCGGAUAGCAGCGGUUUCAGUUCAUCAAAAUUUACAGAACUGGUAGAAGACCUAUUACUCUGACAGUUGAGGUGGCACGCAUUAAACCGUACCCCUUUUUCAACCUAACCUACACCUUAAUAGUGGUGUACACUGAACAUCAUGUAUCAUGAUUGCCUAGGUUAAGAUAAACUUCAAGCGUAAAAUAGCCGAUUGUAGCGUCAUUUGCACAACAACAAAAAUCUACCCCCAAAGAAACUACAUUGAGAGGCAAAUGCUGUAAAUAUAUUUGUGGUUUUAAAGUGGUUUUAAAAAUAAACUUAGUUUACAACGUA